UGGGGAAUAUUGCACAAUGGGGGAAACCCUGAUGCAGCGACGCCGCGCGAGCGAUGAAGUAUUUCGGUAUGUAAAGCUCUAUCAGCAGGGAAGAAAAUGACGGUACCUGACUAAGAAGCCCCGGCUAACUACGUGCC
rnacentral:rRNA from 1 species